CAGCCCAGGGUGCAGAUGUGCGUGGGAGAGCACCAACCCCAGCCUUGCUCUUCCCAGCCCAUGAGGGACUCUCCAGCCCCCUUGUACCCUUUUCAGGGUGGUGUUGGUCCUUGCACCUUUAGGAAUCAGUGGACAUCACUGGCUGUUCCAUGAGCUCAUUUCCUAGACAGAGCACUGAGAUGUCAUGAAUGCCUGUGUGCUAUACUCACCUUCCCCAUGGUACCGGGUGUUCUGGGUGCCUACUGAUGGCAGGAGAGCACCCUCAGCCCCACUGAGAUGUGGGGCACUGUGGUACAGAGGCAGAUCCAGGCUCUCCUGGCUUUCUAGCACCUGUGCCUCAACCACGAGGCCAAAUGCAUACUGAAGGUACCUGUAUUUUACUGCCCCCCUCUUCUGCAUUAAUUAAAACACAUCACUGCACACUUAAGCAAUUUGAAUGUUUUGGAACAAGUCUCGGGACAGCCAAGGGCAUUCAAAGUGAGGAGAAGGCUGGCAGCUUGCCUUCAGCUCUCCGGCUUACCUUGUCUAUCAGCAGCACACAUCACGCAUUGCAAAACUGUGAGAUCUCUGCAGACCCAGAAACAAUGCUCUGGAGGAGAACACAAGGCUCAAGGCAGAGAUCCUCGGUCUUCCUGGGGCUCCAUGACACUGACCGGCUGCCAACAUCUCCACUGAUCUUCUUUCAGUUUUUCCUUGUUUUAUUUUAACAUCUCUCUACGAAAAGCUGGUGGGAACCGUUACUGUAGAAGUGCUCUAUCAGAAUGAUGGCUAAGGGAAAGCUCUGCUAGAUCUGGGGUACGCCUUCCUCUUGGGGAAUUUUUGGAGCUAUCUAAGGCAAGAAAGAGGGAAUUAACAGCAUGUCAAAUAAAAUUCAGGGCUCACAGAGACUCUGUUUUGCCCUUGAGGCCGUAAUGAAGGUCAGGGUAUAAGUGAACAUUCCCCCAAAGGUCUGUUUGCCUUUCCGUCACCUAUCGGUCGUCAGCAGGACACUGCAAGAGAAGAGACCUCAGGUGACCUCCAGAGCUUCUGGUGUGCUGUGGACUCCAGGCAGCAGACAGUUGACUACAGUCUAGAAUGGAAAUGAAGGACUAAUUUGCCCAGGGACAUUCCCUUUUGUAUUUUAAAGUAAUGCAAAGUGUCUUUUCACUUUCAGCUCUGGAUUUCAGGCCUAAGAUGAAGAGUCACUGCCAUUAGUUCCACACCAUCACAAUUGUAACAUCAAAACAAGCACUGUAUUAAAAAUAAACACAGCAGGCAUUCACUGGCAUGAUUAAAAUGUAUACA
rnacentral:lncRNA from 1 species